rnacentral:rRNA from 1 species
CCUAUCGGGAGGCAGCAGUGGGGAAUAUUGCACAAUGGGCGCAGGCCUGAUGCAGCCAUGCCGCGUGUAUGAAGAAGGCCUUCGGGUUGUAAAGUACUUUCAGCGGGGAGGAAGGUGUUGUGGUUAAUAACCGCAGCAAUUGACGUUACCCGCAGAAGAAGCACCGGCUAACUCCGUGCCAGCAGCCGCGGUAAUAAU